rnacentral:rRNA from 1 species
AGAGUUUGAUCAUGGCUCAGAACGAACGCUGGCGGUAUGCCUAACACAUGCAAGUCGAACGAGAAAGGGACUUCGGUCCUGAGUAGAGUGGCGCACGGGUGAGUAACACGUGGAUAACCUGCCCUAUGGUCUGGGAUAACAUUUCGAAAGAGAUGCUAAUACCGGAUAAGCCUACGGACCCUUCGGUGUCUGUAGGAAAAGAUUUAUUGCCAUAGGAUGGGUCCGCGGUCCAUUAGCUAGUUGGUGGGGUAAUGGCCUACCAAGGGGACGAUGGAUAGCUGGUCUGAGAGGAUGAUCAGCCACACUGGAACUGAGACACGGUCCAGACUCCUACGGGAGGCAGCAGUGGGGAAUUUUGCGCAAUGGACGAAAGUCUGACGCAGCAAUACCGCGUGAAGGAUGAAGGCCCUUGGGUCGUAAACUUCUGUCAGUGGGGAAGAAAUGCCCGUAAGGGAGAUGACGGUACCCACAAAGGAAGCACCGGCUAACUCCGUGCCAGCAGCCGCGGUAAUACGGAGGGUGCAAGCGUUGUUCGGAAUUAUUGGGCGUAAAGAGCAUGUAGGCGGUCUGUUAAGUCUGGUGUGAAACCCUGGGCUCAACCAGGAAGUGCAUUGGAUCUGCANCUUGAGUAUGGGAGAAGAAAGUGGAUUCCNAGUGUAGAGUGAAACCGUAAAUUUCGAGGACCCCAGUGCNAAGCGCUUUUUGACAACUGCCUUAAAUCNAANNUGGGACAACGGAUAANCCUGGAGNCCGCNNAACAUGGNCUAGGCCCGGNACNCCNGGG